CACAGGAUAUGAGUAACUCUU
rnacentral:miRNA from 2 species